rnacentral:rRNA from 1 species
AUGGGCGGCGGCGGCGGCCCCGACGAGUUCGGGCGGGCGGCGGCGAGGGCGGCGGUGGCGCGGGCGCUGCAGGCGGCGGGCUUCGCCUCCGCGACCCGCUCGGCGGUGGACGCGCUCGCCGACGUCCUGCUCCGCUACCUCCGCCUCCUCGGCGGCGCCGCCAACGCCCACGCCAACCUCGCCGGCCGCACCGCCCCCAACGAGCUCGACGUGCUGCGGUUCCUCGAGGAGACCGGCGAGGCGUACCAGGGCUUCGAGGGCGCCUCCUCCACCCGCGGCUGCCUCGUCGGCUCCGGGGUCGUCAGGGAUUUGGUCGCGUUCGCCGGCGAUGCCGAUGACAAGCCGCUCUCCGCGAGGCGGCCGCUGCCCAGGUUUCCGGUCCGGCACGAUCCGCCGCCGUCGCGGUCGUGUGCUAGCUUUGCGGCGCUGGGCCGGGGGAGCGGGAUGAGGCAUGUGCCCGAGUGGCUCCCGGCCUUUCCGGAGCCCCACACGUAUGCGGUUGCCGAGGAGGAGUCGGGCGAGAUGGUCGGCGGGUCGUCGGCUGCGGUGGAUGAGGUCGAGCAGGUGUGGCGGCAGAGGAAGGCCGAGAAGUCGCUGCUUGGUUUGCAACGGCAGCUGGCGCUUGCGGGUGGCAACGGGAUCCGCCCGGCGGCGGUGGUGGAGGAGGGUGCUGGCAAGGGGAAGGAGCUAGAUAGGGCUGUGGUCAAGAGCAAUCCGUUUAUUCAGUCGGCGUUGCGUUGUGGGGAUAAGGAGGUGUCAGAGGUUGCCAUGCCAAAUUUGGGGAAGAAACACUCUGUUCUCGAUGAAUUUGCACCUGCUUUCGCUGAAUCGGAAGGUGAAGGACUUGAUGAGGGGAGGAGGGACCAAGACCAAGGUGGAGGUCGGAAGAGGAUGGUUCCAAAGGAGAGGCCACCGGUGUAUUUUCGGAUUGGGCCUGAUAGGAAGUCAAGGGUGAUGGCAUUGAAUUCGAGAGCCUUGGUGGACCGUAAGGAUCCCUGGUUCCUGGAGGAUGAUGGGAAGCGGAGGGCACUGUCGAUACUUGCGGAACCAAUGGAGAAGCCAGGCUGA